GUAUAGUUAGGCUUGGUAGGCUAUGAACACUGAUGUCUACGACAGAUCUGCUUCUUCCUCCGCAACAUCUGCUGGAUCCAGAGCCCUGGUCUAAAGUCUCCAUCUUCCUAAUUGUCCAUGUGGGCGUGCAUUUGGUAUGUAAACCUCUGAUCUGCCGCACAAUCCUCAGUAUGUUUACUCUGAAGGGAGCCUUGUGGAUUUUACUCACUAGCUGAAAGUGUUUUGGCCGGCAGCCUUAAAAAGUUGGCUCCUUUUCAUAAACUUUGGAGCCUUAUAAUGUGGUUAAUAUUGUUUCUGAUGCCAGUCAGGGUGGGAUUUUUUGAACCCGGAUUCCCUUUGCUCCACAGCGUCCUCACUCUCAGGGGUGAUGCGACGUGUCCUCUUUAGGUUUCAGAGCGGCUGAAGCCUGGGAGGUCACAUGUGUUUAUUUUCCAAGUGUACAUAUUUGUCUUGAGCUUUUCUGGAUGCUGCAGAAUAGAUACCCUGUGUAAGCAAACAUGAGCCUUGGCGGCGUUUUGCCACACUUGCCAAAUCGGCAGAGAUUUCAAGGGCUGAGCACGACAGAUUCCAACAUGGACCCAUCCUUUUCUAACAAGGGACCUGGACCUGGAGAAAGGCAAGCAUAACGCUGGUCUGUGUGUGUGUGUGUGUUGCUGCUUUGCAACUACAGAAGUAUUUGAACCUCCCAUAAGUCAAUUGCAGAACUCCUCUCUGUGACCUGUUUAUUCAGCAUUCAUCUUGAUUUGUUUCCACAAAUUUUACUUGGUGGCGAGAAUCGCCUGGCUAGGGAUGGAGAAGGAAUUUGGCAUUUAAAGGCAAACCUACCUACUUCUCCCUUUCCAAAUAUUAUAAUAAUAAUAAUAAUUAAUAAUGCAUGAAGCAAAGCACAGCCAUCCUUUGAAAUUUGCACUUCUCCAAAUUUAACAAACCAAUUCUCCAGGCAAAUACAGUGGUACCUCGGGUUACAUACUUAAUUCGUUCCGGAGGUCCGUUCUUAACCUGAAACUGUUCUUAACCUGAAGCACCACUUUAGCUAAUGGGGCCUCCUGCUGCUGCCGCGCCGCUGGAGCACAAUUUCUGUUCUCAUCCUGAAGCAAAGUUCUUAACCCGAGGUACUAUUUCUGGGUUAGCGGAGUCUGUAAUCUGAAGCGUUUGUAACCUGAAGCGUAUGUAACCCGAGGUACCACUGUACAGUAAUGUGUACAGAUAUGCACAUACUCUGGAAAGGGUUGGUUGAUUUGGUUGUGGGAAGAACAAUGCACACAUGCCUUCCUCACCAGGCUCAUGGUACGUUAGGAAUUACCCCCAGGCAAGUAAGCAAAACAUAGGAUCUCAACCAAAGACCACAGUCUUAUACACACACACACACACACACACACACACACACACACUUGGCCGCAAGCCCCAUUGAUCUUUGCAGGCUCUCCCAUCUUUUUACUUUUGAGCAAAUAACCAUUAAAGGCAGGGAGGUCUUUUGGAUGGGGACCACAGCCAGGGGAGGAAAUACUCAUUUUUUAAAAAGUGAAAAUCUCUUCUCACUCCUGCAGCCUCUAUUUUAUUCUGUUAUUAGUUAUUCUGUCAUGAGUGAAUCCGAUCAGGAACAUGGCACUGUGGGGAAAGGGGGCAAAUCUCCCACACACUUGGGGCCACAGUUCUGAGCCAAAUCAACCUCUAUGGCUGCCAUUUGCUAAAAUUCAAAGAGACAGUCAUGGCUCGCCAUUGCCUUGGUUAGUUAAAUCAUAAGUAUGCAGACAUGGGAUCUACAUGUGUUGCAAUGCCCUCUUUGUUAAUUAGUUGGGCUGAUUUUUCAUUGCUUCCUAAACCCAACCAAAGCUGCUCUCUCUGCAUCCAGGAGAAGGUCACACAGCAGUCCAUGAGAACUAGGAUUGAAAGGAUCCGUUCAUUAAUACGUGGAUUCUGAAUUGAACGCAUCUGUGGCAAGAGAGAGCUAGUUUCCGGCACUGCUGCUGCCAUCUCUCGAUUUGGGCAAUGUCUGAUUGCAGAGAGAAACUGUUACCUACGUUCAACUUCCUCCAAAACAAAAAUAUUUGCGUGC
rnacentral:lncRNA from 1 species